AUGUUUCUGAGCGGAAGGGGCGGGGCAAGGGGAGAAGAUGAACGGGGGGAGGGGAGGGAUGCCCUUUGCAUCCAGCGCGCCUGCGCAAACCAGUUGUGUGGGAGCUCACGCCUUCAUGCUUUCCCUCGCUUGGGCUGGCGCGUGCGGUGUCGUCGGCCUCGCCUCGCCUCGGCGNUGACCUGCAGGGAGGCGGGUGUCGAAUGGCAGCAAACGAGUGUGAGGCUAGGGUUGAGCAGAAGGAGUGGGGACAUGGGCGGAGCUUGCAUGUUUCUGAGCGGAAGGGGCGGGGCAAGGGGAGAAGAUGAACAGGGGGGAGGGGAGGGAUGCCCUUUGCAUCCAGCGCGCCUGCGCAAACCGGUUGUGUGGGAGCUCACGCCUUCAUGCCUUCCCUCGCUUGGGCUGGCGCGUGCGGUGUCGUCGGCCUCGCCUCGCCUCGGCGGCGCCCGCCUGUUGGUUCUUUGUCGGCUUCCCAGCUGCCGUGUGACCCCCUGGGCCUGCAGCCCGGCCGCCACCUGGUCCACUUGCAGCCCCGCCGCCGCCGCCAGCGCCCCAAAUAGUCGUUGGACAGCACCGGCGGGCGGGCUCGAGGUGCUGUUUGUGACCUCCUCACACCUACCCGCACGGUGGGUGGCAGAUGCGAGGCCGUGGGGUGCCGCCCCGCCCAUCCGGCGAGCUGUCACGUCCUGAAAGCCGAUAAAGAAUUUCAGGAUGACGAACACGACCGUGGGAACAGCAGCGAGAGGGCAGACUUGGUGACGGAGAUCCGGACAUCGAGUGUAUUUUAUAGGAGUGAAUGCAUGCAUCUUAGUGACACCAGCAUUAGGAGG
rnacentral:lncRNA from 1 species